AUACUCAAAUGUUAUAGAAACUUUAAUUUUCAUUACUAUCAUAUGAAAACUUCUGAGAUUAAUUAAUCAAUAUUGCUUAUUAUUCUGUCAUUCCAUAACAAAAAUAUUAUUAUUAAAUUAUACAAUUAGUAACAAACAAAAUGAAAUCAUUACUGAAGUCAUUUCAUUUCAAACACUUCAUUUGUUAACAUAACAUUGGCAUUUACUUUACAAACUUCUGAACAACUACUUAAACAAUAUUUUACUACCUACCUCUGUUUACAAUCGACAUCUGAUAAGAAUUUAAUUCAGUGACAACAUCGAAACUAUAAGUUUCUUAGAUAACAAUACAAUAUAUGUGGUUACAGUUUGAAAACGACAGUAAUCUUGAGUAGUUUUAUCAGAGCGCCAAGCACGAAUAACUAUCGCAUUCGUAAUGUAAACGUAUCGAGAUGACGAUACGUCAUGAGACGUUAACGGAGUGUGGCAGCACGAAGCCUAUUCUUUCAACUAUCGAGAGCUCGCAUCAAAUUCGAUAGUGACGUCAUGCUAAUGUAAACUAGAGAAGCGGCCAAGUGAACGAUUUGAAUGACUUAUUGAGCAUAAAGAUUUCGUCUGAAAACUAAAUUAAAUUUAUAUAUAUAUUUCAACCUUUGUCUACACGUUUUAUGAAAUAAUAUUUAUUAAAUAAAUAUUAAUUAUGUGCAAAAAGUUCUUAAAGCGAGUUAAGAGAAAUAUAACGUGACAUUAUCUAUGAAAAAAAAAUAAGUACUUAGUUUCAUAAAUUUAUAAAUUUUUUUAUGAUUUCCGAACGUCGUAUUUGACAUUUGUCAUUUGCCGGUUGUUUGUUUGUUAUUUUAUCUUAUGUAAAUAAAUAACAAUUUUAACAUGUUACAUUUAAAAUGAGGACGAUUCAACUCCAAUAUGAGCUAAUGGUGGAAUUUAUGCAAAAAUUGGAAUAUUUGUGGGACCAGUCCAAUAUUACUGGGAGCAGUGGGUCUACUGUAUUCCUACCACACCACUCACUGUUCCUCACGAAGCCUACCCUUCGCCAGCGCCUCCACCAACACCACCGAUCCUCCAUCCGAGGAAGAUAGCUGGAAUCCUCCACCAGUGAAAAAACCUAAAGCGAGUUUGAUUAAAAUGUGUAUAGAGAAUGACAAGAAUACUAUGCUAGGGAGCGUGAGAAAAGUUAUUAUUUUUUAUUAGUUGAUUAUUUUUUGUUACGUACUGUUAAUUUUAUAUUUAUUUCAAUUUUUCUGUUUUUAUGUUAUUUUAAAAUAUUAUCAAAAUAUUGUUAAUGGCAUUGUAUUUAUAAUAAUUAUUCUAACUGUGUCAAUACUGUGAAUGUGGUGCAUGUCUAUAAUUGGCAUAACCACAUGAUCUUGUGUCUUCAUCUUGUUUUUCAAUAAUGUCUUAUAAUAAUAAAUAAAUAAAUUAUAUAUUAUUGGGAUUAAGAUUAGAAUAAAAUAGUUUUUAAGUUAUUUAUAUAUGUAUAUACAUUUUAUUAACUAUAAAAAGAGGAUUUUGUAGAAAAAAGUAAUAAAACACUUGAAAUAACUA